GUCGAUAUAAUUUAAAUUGGUAAAAUAAUAUAUUCGUAAUAUAUUUUUAUAGGUUCAAAUCCUAUUAUCGACU
rnacentral:tRNA from 1 species